UGGUUUUGAUUCUUAGGACCAAGAUCCUUUCCGGUACAUAAGUUUCUUAGUUCACAGUUAAGACUUUAUCCAAUGGAGUAGCUCGUCUCCUUCCUUUCAUAGUAUGAAUAAGAAGCAAAGUCAAUAUGAAAGAAAUCGGCAUUAGCCCCCUAGCUACAUUUCCUUCUUUUUCUAUGGAAUUGCCGUCCUAGGCUCCGAACUCAAAACUCCCAGAAAGCAUCAAUCAUAUUUCAUUGAUCCUUCAGAUAGUUGAUCUUCCGCCCCCUAUUUAUUUAUGGAUGUUCAUUGACCGAAGGCGCAAAGAAUAUUGCGACUAUUCUUUAUAUAUUGAUUAGCUGACUGAACUUUCUUUUCUUAUGUUCUCAUUCCGUUCUUAGAAUAUCCGUUCUUUGCCUUUCCGCUCUUCAACGACCCCUACAAGACUUGCUUUUGGGGAAUUACCGCUGUUUCACCUAUGUGACUGAAGGUGGGGGCAGGGCUAGAACUGAUCUGGCUCUACCAUACCAGUAAACUUCCGAACCAGUAAAGAAGAAAAGGCAGAACCACAUUAAUUGUGUAAAAUCAGUGAAUUGAACUAUCAGAUAAAUAAGGAAAAGGCUCUGAAGCAAGGGAAUGCAGAAUCCUAUAUUCGAAUGAUAUUCGAAAGGUAGAGCAGCUACAAAGACUAUUAUAAGUAAGGAAGUAGUUUCAUAGCAAACCAAGCAAGAAGCCUAGCUAGUGAAGAAAAGCCACUCUAUCUCACCCUAUGUCCUUCCUUUCUCUAAGAUGAUUAAGACUAUCCCCUUUAUCUAUCUUGUCAUCCUGCGUAAAUCCUAAUAAGGAGUUCUUCUUCCUCUCCAGAGUCACUGAAUUCCUCUUCUCGCUAGUAGCCAAGUUCUUCAGCUCUUACUCCGUCAUAGCUUUAUUGAAAUAAGUAGUUAGCACCCUAUUCAAUAUUUCACCUUGCUGGCUGUGAGUUAAACAACCGCAAAUGCUGCUUGAGCGGGGAAAUGCUAUAGCUUAGAAGCAUCUCACAGCUACAACAACCGAUAUAUAGACAGCUCUAGCUCGAUAAGGAUAAUUGAACUAACCUGAAAUAGGAUGACGGAACUGAGAAAGCCUAAGCGUCAGUAGGAUAUUCCUACAGCACCAAUAUCAACUAAUAAGACUAGUCGCCCAUAAUACGAUAAGUAGCUUGCACUACUUUCUAUUCCUUUCAUUAUGUUCGCACAUAAAAAAAACUAGGAGUUCUUGAAUACCAAAAAGAGAGACUGCAGGAAAAGAAAGAAGAGGAAUUGGAUUCCCCAGAGCAGCCCGGAUAAGCCAUCCUGCAGCUUCGCUCUGCUGCCGCCUCUUCCUUCCUUCUAUGUGAUGUACUCUAGCAGCAUUCAUUCCUUUCAUCCUUUAUGUUCGUUCUCGUUCGUGCACCUGUCCCCAAUGGAAGAAUGACGAGUCAUGACGAGCUAGACUGAUGACGCUCUUUCAAGGACCGGAUUCUAUAAUAAGAUGAGUUGCUUCGGAUGUGUAUGAGAAGGAAGCUUGUGGUGCAAGCAUUUUUUCAAAUCAGGUAUAGCAAGGGAGUUCGUGUCUUCCUCUCCUACCUAGCGCACUAUAAUAGGUAGCAUGGAUCAGUAAUCUUGUUGUAUAGCUAGGUCUGUGAGAGCUGGGUUCCUUUGUCAGUCAGUCUCGGUAGUUCAGUCAGAGCGAGAUCCGUGGCAUAGCUCAGUUACUUGAUGGAUAGAUGCUAGUGUCGCUAGAUCAGUCGUCUAGUUCGAUCAGUUGACAGUGGAGUAGUUCUCUUAUAGCAUGGGUAGCUCAUUAGUACAGAGAUGAGAAGGCUAGCGAGAGGGCUUCUUCCAUACAUUGUCCGAUCACUCAUGAAAGAGGCCACCUAUGCAUGAAAUGAGUAAAGCUCGCUUUCCCCUAAUCUAAUGGCAGGAUCGACAAAACGAACUUGAUCGACCAAUCCCCUGGUUUCAUUUCUCAUGAAUAGUAUGAGACUGACUCAGCUCAGAUGCUGUGAUCCGGGAGAAUUCUCCUCUUAAAGCACCUCCCGCAGGACUGGAUUUGAGUUCUUCACCGAAAACCAAUUCUCUAGCGCCGACGUCCGUAAAUCGGACAACUCUAAGAGCUUAAUCAAAGACAUCAAUGAACAGAAUCAAGGCUCAAAGAAUAUUGUAUGAGUUCUAAGAAAAUAUUAGUUCUCAACAAUAUCCCUGUCUUAUGGGGCCUUCGUAGCUUAAUAAAUAAAUAGGGAUCUAAAAGCGGUCGAUGAGCAAAGAAUUAGGGAUAGCUCUGAUUUUGCAAAACAAAGGCGAGGCGCAAAGAUCUAUGGCCCACGUAGCGGUGCCAUAAGACAGGGAUAUUGCGGAGUAUUAUUCCACUAAAAAGGUCCAGGUGCAAAGAAUAUUGCCUGGAACUUGAAUAAGGAGCGUAGCGGAGUAGCGGAGCGGUGGGUUCGGUGGCUUCGCCCUGCUUCGCCCUUUGUUUUCCAGCCAGCGUAGCGGACACCGGACACCUUUCUUUUCUCUUUUCCAGCGUAGCGUAGCGGAGAAAUCAAGCGGAAAUCCUCUUUGAACCGCGGAGUGGGGAUUUUCAGCCUAGCGUAGCGGAGCGGUGGCUCUCCCUAUUAAUAGAACUUUGUCUUUGUACUUGGUCAAAAUCAAGCGGAAAUCUUCCUGUCCUCCGGACUAUCCAUUAGAAGCGCCUCUUGUCGAGUAAGAAAGGUUCGGUAAAACUCUCGGGGAUUCCUUAUUCAGUUUAUUCCUUUCAUAUGAAACCGCGAUACUUUUCAUUGACUUCCUUCUCUUUCUUCCUUUUAUUCCGUUUCGGAUUCUAGAAUCUUUCCCCGCGUAGUGGGCAUUGACUUCUUCAUUGAUCUUCCCCGCUUGAUUUAUGGAUGUUCAUUGAUUCCUCUUGUUUUUCUUUUCUUCUUAUAUCCUAUUAUGACUUGAAAACCACUAAAUCUUUCUUCCAAAAUCUACUAUAAGGAGGAGUUCAAACCUUUGCCUUUUUAUUCUAUUCCUUCGCCUAUUUUUUGGUCUCAUUGACUUCUAAUGGAUAGUCAUCUGGACCUUUCUUCUUUGACCGCCUUGAUUUUUCAUAGCUGGAAUCCUAGCCAAUAUUUAGGAAAAGAAAUCCGCCUUUUAGCCACUCUAUUUGAUUGAUAUUAAUCGUGUAUUCGCGCGGACAAGGCACACGGGGAUUACGCACCGGGGACGAAUUCAACCUCAGUAUGAAAACAAGGCCCAAUAUCAUAAGCCAAAGGCGUGAAGCCACUCACAACCCACUACGCGGGGAGUCGCUCGGUCAGCUUGAGCUUUACCCAAAUCGUACGCACGAACACAGCUCAAUAGGGUCACAAAGGGGUAGGGUAAGCAGAAAGAGCUUCAAGAUACAGCAUUCUCAACUGAUAAAGAAGAAAGCGAAGCCAUAGGAGGAAGGGCAAGAAGACAACCAGGCGCAGAAGAAAGAUAAGCCAGAAUAGAAUGUAGUAGAUUCAUUCCUUUGAUCUCAGGCCGGGGACUGACUCUGAUGAAGAAAGGGAUGAAAGGGGGAAAGCAUCCUAAAAUGAGGUUGGCUUGGAACAUCUUUUCUCAAAGGAAAGGAAAGAAGAAUCCACAUCCACUGCUUAAACGUAAUUCCCCUAGGCUGAUUAGCCCGCCCUGUCGAUCGUGGGAGAUCUUUCAAGGUUGGGGUUCGUGCAUGAACAAAAAAGAGAGAAGUCAGAAGACCCGAGGUGGACUCGUUGGAAUCCGCCCUUUAUUAUAUUAGUGCGAAUGCACAAUUUGCAAGGUUUUGACUCCCUCGCUCCUACGCCUUCUACGUCUUCCUUCUUUUUUCCCUUUUCGGAACCCGUCAAAAAGAGUCAAAUCAAUGAAGGAGUACAAUGAACAAGGGUUCAAUUCCUCUUUAUUCAGUUCCACGCAAUCGCAUAUUUCAUUGCGCCUACUAACCGUCCUCCGGACUAUCCGUAUGAACCUAGCCUUCGGACCAGCUGACUGAUUUAUGGAACGAAUGGACGCGUAGUAGGUUUGGAAGGAAUUGCAUUUUGAUGCCAGAGAAGACCGCUACGUGGGAAAAGCCUAGUGGAUAGUCAAAGAAAGGUCCAGGCGCAGGCGCAAAGCAAAGAAAGAAGCUCAUUAACUCGAAUGAAAGAAUCAUUAUGAUUGAAUCACCCAUAACCUGGAGGGAAAUCCAGAAUAGACCCGUAUUUCUCCGGACCAUAAACUCAAACUAGAACUGAUCCAUGUGAAUUUCUGGGAUAGGCUUGAUUCUUUCAUUGCGUUUUCCCGGCUUUUUUGCUUCUAAAUAGGACUAAAUCAAAGAUUGAUAUUUAACGAAAAUUGUCUAAAAAUGACGGAUUUUUCAUGAUUUCUUGCUACUUUAUAGGCCCAAAACCUAGCAUUUUCUUGUAUUUCCCUCCGCGGAUUCAUCUUCAAUCUAGCUCUUCAAUCUAGCAGAUUAAUCUGAAAUCUAGCAGAUUCAUAAUUCUUCUUGAAUUCGAGUUAAUGAGCCCGUAGUUAGGAGUAUUAAGACCGGUCCUACGUCCAUUUAUCCUCCGGACUAUCCGUAAUUAACCGAACUUUGCGCCUUUCUUUUUCUUCCGCUACGUGGGGAAUCAAUUUCUUAAGAAUCUUCUCAACAAUAUCCCUGUCGAUAAUUCAGGCUUCGGACCAGGCUCGACUGAGAUGGAGGAGAGGACUAGAAAUAAAGAAAGCACUACGCGGGGGGGAAGAAUGGAUAUUGUGCUAGGCGCAAAGCAAGCCCUUCUAAUGGAUAGUCCGGAGGCGCAAUUCAAUAUGCGAUCCUUUUUUUUCAAUUUCGAAAAGAUGAAAACUAGUUAGAUCAAUGGAAUGGCUAGUAAACUGCUGGAUAGACUUCCUUUAUCAGAUUAUGAACUUGACUCCUAUAAUUAUUUAAAUAGAUGGAACUCUUACUUGACGAACUGAGGAUGUAUUUGAUCCCUCGGAAAAAAUGAAUAAUAGAAUUUCCCCCCGGGCUAACCUUCUUUCUAUUUGUUGGUGGGACAUUUCAUUUCCUUCUCACGCAAUAUUCUUUGCGCCUUUGUCUUUGUCAUCAGCGAAGGUAGCUCUCUAAAAAGUACUUUGAUGCGAGAAUGGAUUCUUCCGAAUAGGUAGGGUUCCAUCUGUGUGCCAAGGACUUGUUCCCUAAAGAAGGAGGGAGAAAGAGCCAUUGCCGCCCUCUACCGCCUUUGUCCCAGCGCUGGCUUGGCUUCAAAGUGGAAAGUAGGCGCAAAGAAUAUUGCUCAAGAAUAUUGACGCUCCGUGCCGAUUAUCUGAUCGCUCAUCCAUGAGCUAGCGCUUGAAUGAAACUAAUCCCUUCGACCCCACGUAGCGGUUCGUUCCCAAUCUCUAUCGUCAAAUAAGAUAUAAGAGGGCUCAGACGAUGUUCUCUUGUCCCCUCGGGAAAUUCGAUGAAAUCAUCCCGCAGGACGCGAACCAGGACUGGCCGUAGGUUAAGAUAGUUACCUAUGGCAAAUAUGGGUCUCCUCAAUAGAACAGGGCCUCUGACCGAGAGGUCGUUAGACUCAAGCAUGUCCUAUCCUCUUUUCAAAGCAAUCCAAGGUGGUGUGAACAGCCUAUUGCAUUUAACCAAGGCGGACUCGUGGAGCCCAGAGAUCGCCUUGCCUUGGGACCACUCUUCCCCUAGUGCAUUGCAUGGACGGAGACAACUAGGUCUCGCCAUGAAGCAAGCUCAUAGGGAAGAAGGCAGGCUUUAGCCAUGGCCCCUUGCCUGUCCUCUUAGCAGCCUUGGAAGCAUACUUUCCUGUACUUCCCGCAUAGUGGUCAGAGCUUUUUCCAGGUUGGUUUGAAAGUCAACCCGAGACGAUCUAUCCAGGGUACAUACCUCUCUGUCGAGCAUCGGGAGAUUGUCUUUUAUAGGACCCACAAGCUCAAGGACAGAGUCGUGGUCUGAGACAGGAGUAAGCUGAGACGCAAAUGUCGACUUGCUUACACCUUUUGCCAAAAAAGUAGAAUCUUCUAAAUAGAGAAUACUGAAAAAAACUUCACCAACACCAACAUAUCAGAAGGUAGUUGAAAAGGGGCUUUAAUGCGCUUGCUUACUCGAAAGAAUAAGGAUUUAAGUAGCCGAAUCGACAUCUUUCUCUUCCAAUCCAUCCUAUUGAUCUGAUUGUAAGGUAAAUUGGCUGAAUUCCUAUCCCCAACUGCGGUUCUUGCAAAGAGCGCUAAGCACCUCUUACUCUAAUGAAAGGCCUUGGUGAUUCGAAGAUUUGCAACUCGACCGCAUACAUAAGAAAGAGAGGGAGCCCUUGGUCAAAGGAAAAGCCAUAACCUGCCUCUUUAUUUAUGUACGUACACCUUUCUUUCAAGGUGGGGCCGCCUCCUGCUAAUCCGGCCAUUUCCGAACCUUUCUUUCCCACCCCAUUCAAUGCAAUGGAGGACUUCUCAAUUCUUGCGAUUCCCAGCCCCCAAAAAAAAAGACUCAAAAAGGCAAGGCUCCAAGAAUGAUCGGAGACCUAGAACUGACCCACUACGCGGUCGGCGAAUAAGUUGCUUUCGAAAUCUUCUGAUCGCCAUUCUCUUCUUUCUUCUUUCUCGUAAUUCCCGCCGAACUAGGAGUUUGAAGAUAGAAGUCUAAGGCCAACUUCUCUAACUAUUUACACCGAUCUCAGUUCUUGCGGACAAGGUCUCCACUUCCUUAUUCUUUUUUUUGAGAAUAUGUGCUAUAAUGAAUGAAUUCUAAGGAAAAGCUAGAGUACUAAAGAAGUUAGAGUAACUAAAGAAAAUUAGCCCUUAGAUUAACCCCAAUGCAGUAGAGGGAGAGGCUGAAAGAAGGCGAAUAGAAACUAGAAUGAAGGGGAAGGUGACCCUCGGCAGGAAAAGGCUGCUAAUAGUGAUCAGGAAGGUUCUCUCGCAGGGGAGUUUUAGAUAUUAUGUCCCUUGCUUAAGAAGAAGGUGGAGCGCUUGCUCUUGCUGGAAAAGCUCUUUCUUAUGUUCCAGGGUAGGGAAUUUCUUCUUGACCUGCCUGGCGUAGGAGGCUGAAUUCCCCUAUUAGCCGUUUUUAGGUUCAGACUUUGGAGCAUCUUCAUUCCCUUUCUGAUAAUGAGAGGAAAAGUAUGAUUUGUUCUCGUUAGUUAGCAACUCGAUUUAGAGAUUUGACUGUCCUUUUCACUGAUUCAAGUUGUUCACUUUCGGGCAAAACCUAGUUCAUUGGGAUUCUCCCGCUCCGUGGGAAAGAGGAAAUGGGGAAUUCUCAUUCUUUCGAGUCAAAGCCAUAGGCUUCAUAGGAUAAACUUAAGGUUCAAAGUCGCAUCGCAAAUUCUUUGCGCCUCCGUUUUAGAGUCCUUCCUUCCAUAUGGAUGGUCCUACUUCGGUUAAUUACGGAUGGUCCUACUUCCAUAUGGAUAGUCCUCCUUCUAAUGGAUAGUCCUACGGAUAAAUCCUCCGGACCCUGGACCUUUCUUUGGCACUGCGGACUCCGGACUCCGGACCUAGACACAAUUCAGAAAGAAAGUGAAAAUUCCAUAAAGGGAAU
rnacentral:lncRNA from 1 species